GUGCCAGCAGCCGCGGUAAUACGUAGGGUGCGAGCGUUGUCCGGAAUUACUGGGCGUAAAGAGCUCGUAGGUGGUUUGUCGCGUCGUUUGUGUAAGCCCGCAGCUUAACUGCGGGACUGCAGGCGAUACGGGCAUAACUUGAGUGCUGUAGGGGAGACUGGAAUUCCUGGUGUAGCGGUGGAAUGCGCAGAUAUCAGGAGGAACACCGAUGGCGAAGGCAGGUCUCUGGGCAGUAACUGACGCUGAGGAGCGAAAGCAUGGGUAGCGAACAGGAUUAGAUACCCUGGUAGUCCAUGCCGUAAACGGUGGGCGCUAGGUGUGAGUCCCUUCCACGGGGUUCGUGCCGUAGCUAACGCAUUAAGCGCCCCGCCUGGGGAGUACGGCCGCAAGGCUAAAACUCAAAGGAAUUGACGGGGGCCCGCACAAGCGGCGGAGCAUGUGGAUUAAUUCGAUGCAACGCGAAGAACCUUACCUGGGCUUGACAUACACCAGAUCGCCGUAGAGAUACGGUUUCCCUUUGUGGUUGGUGUACAGGUGGUGCAUGGUUGUCGUCAGCUCGUGUCGUGAGAUGUUGGGUUAAGUCCCGCAACGAGCGCAACCCUUGUCUUAUGUUGCCAGCAAUUCGGUUGGGGACUCGUGAGAGACUGCCGGGGUUAACUCGGAGGAAGGUGGGGAUGACGUCAAAUCAUCAUGCCCCUUAUGUCCAGGGCUUCACACAUGCUACAAUGGUCGGUACAACGCGUUUGCGAGCCUGUGAGGGUGAGCUAAUCGCUGAAAGCCGGUCGUAGUUCGGAUUGGGGUCUGCAACUCGACCCCAUGAAGUCGGAGUCGCUAGUAAUCGCAGAUCAGCAACGCUGCGGUGAAUACGUUCCCGGGCCUUGUACACACCGCCCGUCACGUCAUGAAAGUUGGUAACACCCGAAGCCAGUGGCCUGUUAAAGGGAGCCGUCGAAGGUGGGAUCGGCGAUUGGGACGAAGUCGUAACAAGGUA
rnacentral:rRNA from 1 species